rnacentral:rRNA from 1 species
GACGAACGCUGGCGGCGUGCCUAAUACAUGCAAGUCGAACGCAGUGGGGACGGGUGAGUAACACGUGGGUAACCUCCCAUCAGAGGGGAUAACACUUGGAAACAGGUGCUAAACCGAUACUGAUGGAUGGACCCGCGUUGCAUUAGCUAGUUGGUGAGGUAACGGAGCACCAAGGCACCGAUGCCUAGCCGACCGUAGAGGGUGAUCGGCCACACUGGGACUGAGACACGGGCCAGACUCCGACGGGAGGCAGCAGUAGGGAAUCUUCGGCAAUGGACUAAAGUCUGACCGAGCAACGCCGCGUGAGUGAAGAAGGUUUUCGGAUCGUAAAACUCUGUUGUUAGAGAAGCGGUAUCUAACCAGAAAGCCACGGCUAACUACGUGCUAGCAGCCGCGGUAAUAC